rnacentral:rRNA from 1 species
CUACCGGAAAGGUAGCUAAUACCCGAUACAUCCUUUUCCUGCAUGGGAGAAGGAGGAAAGGCGAGCAAUCUCACUUGUGGAUGGGCUGCGGCGCAUUAGCUAGUUGGUGGGGUAAWGGCCUAAAGGCGACGAUGCGUAGCCGACCUGAGAGGGUGAUCGGCCACACUGGGACUGACACGGCCCAGACUCCUACGGGGCAGCAGUAGGGAAUCUUCCGCAAUGGGCGAAGCCUGACGGAGCAACGCCGCGUGAGUGAUGAAGGUUUUCGGAUCGUAAAGCUCUGUUGCCAGGGAAGAACGUCUUGUAGAGUAACUGCUAYAAGAGUGACGGUACCUGAGAAGAAAGCCCCGGCUAACUACUGCCAGCAGCCCGGUAAUACGUAGGGGGCAAGCGUUGUCCGGAAUUAUUGGGCGUAAAGCGCGCGCAGGCGGCUCUUUAAGUCUGGUGUUUAAUCCCGAGGCUCAACUUCGGGUCGCACUGGAAACUGGGGAGCUGAGUGGAAUUCCACGUGUAGCGGUGAAAUGAGAGAUGUGGAGGAACACCAGUGGCGAAGACUCUCUGGGCUGUAACUGACGCUGGCGUGGGGAGCAAACAGGAUUAGAUACCCGUAGUCCACGCCGUAAAAWRAAKGSUAGGUGUUAGGGGUUUCGAUACCCUGGUGCCGAAGUUAACACAU